rnacentral:misc_RNA from 1 species
UCAUUUGAAAUGUAUUGGUGUUGUUUAGCUGACAGUCGCCGCAUUUAGCAUUGCUAAUCAUCUUUUAGAUGUUCCUUGCUUUUACGGAUCAACGACAAUAAGCAUUAAUAAACGACCCAAGCGCAAACCUACUAAUAGAUAUUCGUUAUUUAUUUAACCAUCUUGAUCUCAGAUCAGGCAGGAUGACCCGCUGAACUUAA